UGGCCGCUGGGUGGGGGUUCUCUCCACAGCAUCCCCAGUUUCCUGCAGGCCUGGAGGUGACAGACGAGGUACUGGAGAAGGCAGCUGGGACUGAUGUCAACAACAUCUUCCAGCUCACUGUGGAGAUGUUUGAUUACAUGGAUUGUGAGCUGAAGCUUUCUGAAUCAGUUUUCCGACAGCUCAACACGGCCAUCGCCGUAUCCCAGAUGUCCUCAGGCCAGUGCCGCCUGGCCCCGCUCAUCCAGGUCAUCCAGGACUGCAGCCACCUCUACCACUACACGGUCAAGCUCCUGUUCAAGCUACACUCUUGUCUCCCUGCGGACACCCUGCAAGGCCACAGGGACCGGUUCCACGAGCAGUUUCACAGCCUCAGGAACUUCUUCCGCAGAGCCUCUGACAUGCUGUAUUUCAAGCGGCUCAUCCAGAUCCCCCGGCUGCCCGAGGGACCCCCUAACUUCCUGCGGGCCUCAGCCCUGGCUGAGCACAUCAAGCCGGUGGUGGUGAUCCCCGAGGAGGCCCCGGAGGACGAGGAACCGGA
rnacentral:sRNA from 1 species